rnacentral:rRNA from 2 species
GGUCAAGAUACAAAGGGCGUAU